rnacentral:snoRNA from 1 species
AGAAGUACUCAGUGUUGCCUUUUACUAAUGAUCCAUUGAACCAUCGCAAAGGGGCAGAGUGAAAACACUUUUGGGUGAAGUGGCAGCAUGUGUUGUUUUGCUUCAACCAGUAGGGAGAUAAGG